AACAAUUGGACCUACUGUGCCGUCUAUCUACCUUGACAAGCGAGUGGAAAAUGACCACGAUUAUGGCUUCCAUUUCUAUAAACCACAAAACGAAAGCUGUCUGAAGUGGGCAACAAGGAUACCGACUCUGUGGUGUAUGUCUCAUUUAGAAGUGCUGCAGUUUUAAAUGUGCAGCAGAUGGCAAAAAUGGUGGAGGCCCUAAGGAAAAACAACAACUACUACUUAUGGGUGGUGAGGUCAAGUGAAGAGGACAAGCUUCCAAGUGAUUUUGUGAAGGAUACGUCAGAAAAGGGAUUGGUGGUGACAUGGUGCCCACAGUUGGAGGUUUUAGCCCAUCGUGCAGUUGGAUGGUUCAUAACGUAUUGCGGAUGGAACUCGACGAUGGAGGCAAUAAGAUUUGGUACGCCAGUGGUGGGAAUGCUGCAGUUUUGUGACCAGACUACAAAUGCACAUUUUGUGGGGCAUGUUUGGGGAGUGGGAGUUGUGACCAAGGUGGAUGAGUAAGGUGUUUCUGUUAAGGAAGAAAUCGAAAGAUGCAUCGGAGAAGUUAAGGGUGGAGAAAGGGGAAAACAGAUUAAGAAAAAUGCUAAUCAGUGGAAGUAGUUGGCUAAGGAGGCAGUGGAUCAAAAUGGAAGUUCAGAUCAAUACGUUGAUGAAAUUAUUGCUCGUCUUGCAGCUACUUGUUAAUGAUUGUGAAUUCCAAGUUGGAAGUUUCAAUGUUUUCUUCACUACGCUUAGAUGUUUUCUACGUGGCGGUUGUAAUUGCCUGUUAAGCAUUGCAGAUUUAAAAGCUGGCAGUCCUUAGUUUUAGUAAUAAUAAAAUGUGAUACAUUUUUACGGUUUAAAGAUGAAGUUUUACGCAAUGCACACGAAAUCUUGUUUUCGAGUAAAAUCCAUCGUAUUGUAUCCAUUGAUGGAUAUAUAAACUCAUUCUUUGAUGGAUAUAUAAACGCAUCAACGAAUGUUCACGUGCUAAUUAAGCAGUAUGAGAAAGCCAUUGCCAGCCAGUAUGAGAAGGAAGUGAAAGCAGAUUAUGACACAAUAAAUACUGCACCAAUCCUGAAAACGCCUUCUCCAAUGGAAAAAUAAGCAUCUGAUUUUUAUACGAGAAAGAUAUUCGUGAAAUUUCAAGAAGAAUUAGUUGAGACUCUGGCUAGUCCUGCAACUUUAAUUGAUGAUACAGGAUCUGAAAUUAUGUAUUGGGUGGCAAAAUUUGGGGAAGACCACAAGGGACACUUUAUUAGGUUCAACAUUUUUGAAAAGAAAGCUAGAUGUAGCUGCCAAAUGUUUGAGUUUUCAGGUAUUCUUUGCAGGCACAUACUAGCAGUUUUCAGAGUUACAAAUGUUCUUACACUCCCAUCACAUUAUCUCUUGAAACGAUGGACAAGAACUGCCAAAAGUGGGGUGGUAUUGCAUAACCACACUCUUGGAUUACCUUAUGAUUAUCAAGAAUCAUCUACUGCUCGUCGUGACAUUUUGUGCCGUGAAGCUAUCAAAUAUGUAGAAGAAGGGGCAAAGUCAGUAUGUUUGUAUAAUGUGGCAAUGGAAGCUCUACGUGAGGCCACAAAGAAGGUUGCUGCUGCAAAACAGAAUGGUCCAAGUGUGAUACAGAGCAAUCUAGCCAACAGAAGUGAUCAGGAAGUCAGCAAAGCAUUCUAGCCAAAAGGAGUGACCAGGAAGUGAGGAUAAGUGAAAAUGAAAUGGGCCAGCUUCGGUCUUGUUCAGUGAAUCAGGACCAGAAAAUUCAGGAAUUAACUGUUGAGUUGGAAAACACAAGUCAGAGAUGUGAAGCAUAUCGAGCAAAGCUAUUGGCUGUGUUGAACAUUAUGGAGGAACAGAAGUUGAAGAUAUCUGUGAAAGUACAGAAUGUGAGGCUUACUUUAAAAAGUUAGAGUUUGAAGAGAUAACAACCAUUCCAAUCCAUUGUGGACAAUACCCAUUGUAGAAGGGGAAGACCCAUGAUUUGUAUUGGCAGGGUUGAACUCACAUUGGCUUCGCAGUUUUAAUCUCUCGUUACAUACAUCGGCUGCUACUUAUGUUUGCUUAGCUUCUGAUGGAGGACAGUGAAGUGCUGGAGCUUUAUUCACUUUAGUGUUAUAGUAGAUGUAAACAUGUAACUGUAGAUUAGUUGAUGCAAGAGGUGCCAUGUUGCAAAAUUUUCCCUGAUUUUAGUGUGAAGAUGUUCUUCGGUGAUGUUAGUUUUUUCUGUGAGUUAAUAGAGUUACCUUUGGUUGCA